UUAAAGGUGUGUUUGUAUUAACAAAAUUACAAUUCUGUCAUAAAUUUAUUAAGAAUAAAAAUAUUUAUUUUAUAAUUAUUCAUAAAGGCGUCAAAAAAAUCUGGACAGAGAAUUAUGCACUACAACAAAAACGGUCUAUAGCGACACUUUUAAAUGUAGGUACACGUCAAAAAAGUACUGCUAGCUAAAAUUACCGACACUUUUAAAAAGUGUUGCUAUAUGUGGGAUCGCUAGGUAUAUAGUGACAGUUAAAGAGUGUCGCUAUAACCUAAAAGAGUGUUGCUAAUUUAUCAAAACUUAUUUAAACAUUUAGCAACCGUCGAAAUUCUAUCUCGUUGGCUGCGGUGGCGGAGGACGACGACAGGAAAGGCUCUUCGCCUAGAAUUUCAGUAGAUUGAGUGAAGAAAGAAGAAAAGAUGGUAAUUGAAUUUUCUUUUUUUUUUUUUCUUUUCUGUUUGUAAUCGGGCCAAAUGGACUGGAUGUGGUGGGUUGAGUAGAGUAAUUUUUUAUUUUUGGUUGGAUUGGGCUUUAUAUUUAGGCAUUAGGAGAUGUUUUUUUAAAUUUUAGCAUAAAUGGGACACUUACUCAAAAGUGUCCCAAACAUGUGUCCCUAUAACCUAAUUCUCUUGUAGUGAUGGAAGUAAAUCUUCGAAAACAAAUUUUUUUAAAAUUAUUUCCAAGUCAACGUUCAUAAAAGAAUUUUAAAAUAUUUAGUUUAUAGCUAAACUGUGAAUUAAAACAUACAUUCAUAUCAUAUCAAUUUUAUGUUUACCCACAUUUAAAAUCUUUACAUAUUAAU
rnacentral:lncRNA from 1 species